CUACGGGUGGCACCAGUGAGGAAUUUUGCGCAAUGGGGGGAACCCUGACGCAGCAACGCCGCGUGAGUGAUGAAGGCUUUCGGGUCGUAAAGCUCUGUCAAGUGGGAAGAACCUAUGCAGUGUUAAUAUCACUGUAUACUGACGGUACCACUGAAGGAAGCACCGGCUAGCUCCGUGCCAGCAGCCGCGGUAAUACGGGGGGUGCAAGCGUUAUUCGGAAUCAUUGGGCGUAAAGGGCACGUAGGCGGCUUGGUAAGUCAGAUGUGAAAGCCCGGGGCUUAACCCCGGAAGUGCAUUUGAUACUGUCAGGCUUGAGUAUGGGAGAGGGAAGUGGAAUUCCUGGUGUAGAGGUGAAAUUCGUAGAUAUCAGGAGGAACACCGGUGGCGAAGGCGACUUCCUGGACCAAUACUGACGCUGAGGUGCGAAGGCGUGGGUAGCAAACAGGAUUAGAUACCCGCGUAGUC
rnacentral:rRNA from 1 species